CAGUUCGGACUGUAGGCUGCAACUCGCCUACACGAAGCUGGAAUCGCUAGUAAUCGCGGAUCAGCCACGGCGCGGUGAAUACGUUCCCGGGCCUUGUACACACCGCCCCGUCAAGCCAUGGAAGCCGGGGAGUGCCUGAAGUGCGUGACCGCAAGGAGCGUCCUAAGGCAAUACCGGUGACUGGGGCUAAGUCGUAACAAGGUAUC
rnacentral:rRNA from 1 species